rnacentral:rRNA from 1 species
AUCAACUUUCGAUGGUAGGAUAGAGGCCUACCAUGGUGGCAACGGGUAACGGGGUGUUAGGGCACGACACCGGAGAGGGAGCCUGAGAAACGGCUACCACAUCCAAGGAUGGCAGCAGGCGCGCAAAUUACCCAAUCCCGACACGGGGAGGUAGUGACAAUAAAUAACAAUACGGGGUUCUUAUGGAUUUCGUAAUUGGAAUGAGUACAAUUUAAAUCUCUUAACGAGGAACAAUUGGAGGGCAAGUCUGGUGCCAGCAGCCGCGGUAAUUCCAGCUCCAAUAGCGUAUAUUAAAGUUGUUGCAGUUAAAAAGCUCGUAGUUGAAUUUCGGGAUCAAUAUGUUGGUCGUGCCUCGGUACGUACUAGCUUAUUGGUUUCUCCUUUCUGAAGAACCAUGAUGUCAUUUAUUUGGUGUCGUGUGGAAUCAGGACUGUUACUUUGAAAAAAUUAGAGUGUUUAAAGCAGGCUCACGCUUGAAUACAUUAGCAUGGAAUAAUGAAAUAGGACGUUUGAUUCUAUUUUGUUGGUUUCUAGGAUCGACGUAAUGAUUAAUAGGGAUAGUUGGGGGCAUUAGUAUUCAAUUGUCAGAGGUGAAAUUCUUGGAUUUAUUGAAGACUAACUACUGCGAAAGCAUUUGCCAAGGAUGUUUUCAUUAAUCAAGGACGAAAGUUAGGGGAUCGAAGACGAUCAGAUACCGUCGUAGUCUUAACCAUAAACUAUGCCGACUAGGGAUCGGAUGAUGUUAAUUUUUUAAUGACUCAUUCGGCGCCUUACGGGAAACCAAAGUGUUUGGGUUC